UUCCAGUACACUAACUUUGUUACGACUUACCUCCUCUUUAGAAGAGGGUGACGGGCGAUAUGUACACCUAAGAUCAGUUUCGUUUUAAAUUCUUGUUAUAAAACUACUUCCAAAUCCUCUUUCAUUUUUUCUUUAGAUGAAAUCCUUUAAUAAAUUUAAUGAGUAAUUAGUUCUGGCUUCAUCAUUGUCUUCACCUUGACCUGACUUAUUAAAAAUUUUUGGGCAGGAUGUGUCAAUUCUACCUUUAGACGGCGGUAUAAAAGAAUAAGAUGAAGAAAAAAUAAACGAGCAGAAUCGAAGGAAACAAAUUCCU
rnacentral:rRNA from 1 species